rnacentral:rRNA from 1 species
UGGGGAAUAUUGCACAAUGGGCGAAAGCCUGAUGCAGCAACGCCGCGUGAGCGAUGAAGGCCUUCGGGUCGUAAAGCUCUGUCCUCAAGGAAGAUAAUGACGGUACUUGAGGGGGAAGCCCCGGCUAACUACGUGCCAGCAGCCGCGGUAAUACGUAGGGGGCUAGCGUUAUCCGGAAUUACUGGGCGUAAAGGGUGCGUAGGUGGUUUCUUAAGUCAGAGGUGAAAGGCUACGGCUCAACCGUAGUAAGCCUUUGAAACUGGGAAACUUGAGUGCAGGAGAGGAGAGUGGAAUUCCUAGUGUAGCGGUGAAAUGCGUAGAUAUUAGGAGGAACACCAGUUGCGAAGGCGGCUCUCUGGACUGUAACUGACACUGAGGCACGAAAGCGUGGGGAGCAAACAG